rfam:Picea glauca, whole genome shotgun sequence.
ACAUGAUUACAACAUAGAGUUGAUGCAUUGGAUCCCAUUAGAACUCCGUAGUGAAGUGCACUCGGGCUAGAGUAGUACUGGGAUGGUGAUUGCCUGGGAAUUCUUAAUAUUUUACAUGCC